GACGAACGCUGGCGGCGUGCUUAACACAUGCAAGUCGAACGGAAAGGCCCUGCUUUUGUGGGGUGCUCGAGUGGCGAACGGGUGAGUAACACGUGAGUAACCUGCCCUUGACUUUGGGAUAACUUCAGGAAACUGGGGCUAAUACCGGGUAGGAGCUCCUGCUGCAUGGUGGGGGUUGGAAAGUUUCGGCGGUUGGGGAUGGACUCGCGGCUUAUCAGCUUGUUGGUGGGGUAGUGGCUUACCAAGGCUUUGACGGGUAGCCGGCCUGAGAGGGUGACCGGGCACAUGGGGACUGAGAUACGGACCAGAAUCCUACGGGAGGCAGCAGUGGGGAAUAUUGCACAAUGGGCGGAAGCCUGAGGCAGCAGCGCCGCGUGCGGGAUGACGGCCUUCGGGUUGUAAACAGCUGUCGCCUGUGACGAAGCGUGAGUGACGGUAAUGGGUAAAGAAGCACCGGCUAACUACGUG
rnacentral:rRNA from 1 species